UGCCCAGCAACUCCUAUCUCUAUCUCUUCGUGGUAUUGGCCGGAGUUAGAGUAACUUUAGGGAAGAUCGGGUAACCAACCCCCAGUGGAACUUUGAUCGUAUGCUGACAUGGUAGG
rnacentral:ribozyme from 1 species